GGACGAACGCUGGCGGCGUGCUUAACACAUGCAAGUCGAACGAUGAACCACCUUCGGGUGGGGAUUAGUGGCGAACGGGUGAGUAACACGUGGGCAAUCUGCCCUGCACUCUGGGACAAGCCCUGGAAACGGGGUCUAAUACCGGAUACUGAACCGCUUGGGCAUCCAGGCGGUUCGAAAGCUCCGGCGGUGCAGGAUGAGCCCGCGGCCUAUCAGCUUGUUGGUGAGGUAACGGCUCACCAAGGCGACGACGGGUAGCCGGCCUGAGAGGGCGACCGGCCACACUGGGACUGAGACACGGCCCAGACUCCUACGGGAGGCAGCAGUGGGGAAUAUUGCACAAUGGGCGAAAGCCUGAUGCAGCGACGCC
rnacentral:rRNA from 1 species